rnacentral:rRNA from 1 species
AUUGAACGCUGGCGGCAGGCCUAACACAUGCAAGUCGAACGGUAACAGGAAGAAGCUUGCUUCUUUGCUGACGAGUGGCGGACGGGUGAGUAAUGUCUGGGAAACUGCCUGAUGGAGGGGGAUAACUACUGGAAACGGUAGCUAAUACCGCAUAACGUCGCAAGACCAAAAAGGGGGACCUUCGGGCCUCUUGCCAUCGGAUGUGCCCAGAUGGGAUUAGCUAGUAGGUGGGGUAACGGCUCACCUAGGCGACGAUCCCUAGCUGGUCUGAGAGGAUGACCAGCCACACUGGAACUGAGACACGGUCCAGACUCCUACGGGAGGCAGCAGUGGGGAAUAUUGCACAAUGGGCGCAAGCCUGAUGCAGCCAUGCCGCGUGUAUGAACAAGGCCUUCGGGUUGUAAAGUACUUUCAGCGGGGAGGAAGGGAGUAAAGUUAAUACCUUUGCUCAUUGACGUUACCCGCAGAAGAAGCACCGGCUAACUCCGUG